rnacentral:piRNA from 1 species
UGAGAGUCCAAACCAGUAUCUUCUCUUU